rnacentral:rRNA from 1 species
GAUGAACGCUGGCGGCGUGCCUAAUACAUGCAAGUCGAGCGAACGGACGAGAAGCUUGCUUCUCUGAUGUUAGCGGCGGAGGGGUGAGUAACACGUGGAUAACCUACCUAUAAGACUGGGAUAACUUCGGGAAACCGUAGCUAAUACCGGAUAAUAUUUUGAACCGCAUGGUUCAAAAGUGAAAGACGGUCUUGCUGUCACUUAUAGAUGGAUCCGCGCUGCAUUAGCUAGUUGGUAAGGUAACGGCUUACCAAGGCAACGAUGCAUAGCCGACCUGAGAGGGUGAUCGGCCACCCUGGAACUGAGACACGGUCCAGACUCCUACGGGAGGCAGCAGUAGGGAAUCUUCCGCAAGGGGCGAAAGCCUGACGGAGCAACGCCGCGUGAGUGAUGAAGGUCUUCGGAUCGUAAAACUCUGUUAUUAGGGAAGAACAUAUGUGUAAGUAACUGUGCACAUCUUGACGGUACCUAAUCAGAAAGCCACGGCUAACUACGUG